ACGGGAGGCAGCAGUGGGGAAUAUUAGGCAAUGGGGGAAACCCUGACCUGGCAACGCCGCGUGAAGGAAGAAGGCCUUCGGGUUGUAAACUUCUUUUAUCAGGGACGAAGGACGUGACGGUACCUGAUGAAUAAGCCACGGCUAACUACGUGCCAGCAGCCGCGGUAAUACGUAGGUGGCGAGCGUUAUCCGGAUUUACUGGGUGUAAAGGGCGCGUAGGCGGGGAUGCAAGUCAGAUGUGAAAUCUAUGGGCUUAACCCAUAAACUGCAUUUGAAACUGUAUCUCUUGAGUGUCGGAGAGGUAGAUGGAAUUCCUAGUGUAGCGGUGAAAUGCGUAGAUAUUAGGAGGAACACCAGUGGCGAAGGCGAUCUACUGGACGAUAACUGACGCUGAGGCGCGAAAGCGUGGGGAGCAAACAGGAUUAGAUACCCUGGUA
rnacentral:rRNA from 1 species